rnacentral:lncRNA from 1 species
AUAUAAUUAGGGUGGUUUUUUUUCAGAAAUUCUUUUCCUUCUGUUUUUUUAUUUUGUUUACACUAUCCUUUCUCCUCUUUUUAGUUUACUUUAGUUUUUUUCUGCCUGUUUUAAGUUUUUUUUUUAGUUUUUAAAAGUUUUUUUUAGAAAUACUAUUCUUUUUUUUCUUUUUUUAGUUUUCUUUAGUUUUAUUCUGCCUGUUGUUAAGGUUUUUUUUUAGGUUUUUUUCAGUUUUUUUGUUAUUUAUAUAUAUAUAUAGGUUGUUCUUUUCUGAAAUACUUUUCCUUCUGUUUUUUUUUUAUUUUGUUUAUACCAUCCUUUCUAUCCUUUAUUUCUUUAGUUUUUUUCUGCCUGUUUUAAGUUUUUGUUUUUUUGUUUUUUUGUUUUUUCUAUAUAUUUCGGGUGUUUUUUCUGAUAUACUUUUCUUUCUGUUUUUUCAAUUUUGUUUAUACUAUCCUUUCUCUUUUUUUAGUUUUCUCUAGUUUUUUUUCUGCCUGUUUUAAGUUUUUUUAUUAGUUUUUUUAGUUUUUUUCUGUUAUAUAUAAUUAGGGUGUUUUUUUUUCAGAAAUUCUUUUCCUUCUGUUUUUUUAUUUUGUUUACACUAUCCUUUCUCCUCUUUUUAGUUUACUUUAGUUUUUUCUGCCUGUUUUAAGUUUUUUUUUAGUUUUUUAAAGUUUUUUUUAGAAAUACUAUUCUUUUUCUUCUUUUUUUAGUUUUCUUUAGUUUUAUUCUGCCUGUUUUUAAGGGUUUUUUUUAGUUUUUUUUUCAGUUUUUUUGUUAUUUAUAUAUAUAUAUAGGUUUUUCUUUUCUGAAAUACUUUUCCUUCUGUUUUUUUUUUUUAUUUUGUUUAUACCAUCCUUUCUAUCCUUUAUCCUAUCCUUUCUUUUAGUUUUUUUAGUUCUUUUUGUUAUAUAUAUUUAGGGUGUUUUUUUUCAGAAAUACUUUUCCUUCUGUUUUUUUAAUUUUGUUUACACUAUCCUUUCUCCUUUUUUUAGUUUACUUUAGUUUUUUCUGCCUGUUUUAAGUUUUUUUUAUUUUUUUAACGUUUUUUUAGAAAUACUAUUCUUUUUCUUCUUUUUUAGUUUUCUUUAGUUUUAUUCUGCCUGUUUUUAAGUUUUUUUUAAGUUUUUUUUUGUUAUUUAUAUAUAUAUAUAUAUAGGUUGUUCUUUUCUGAAAUACUUUUCCUUCUGUUUUUUAUUUUGUUUAUACUAUCCUUUCUCUUUUUUUUAGUUUUCUUUAGUUUUUUUUCUGCCUGUUUUAAUUUUUUUUUGUUUUUUUUUUGUUUUUUCUAUAUAUUUAGGGUGUUUUUUUCUGAUAUACUUUUCUUUCUGUUUUUUUUUAUUUUGUUUUAACUAUCCUUUCUCUUUUGUAGUUUUCUUCAUUUUUUUCUUCAUGUUUUAAUUUUUUUUUUAGUUUUUUCUAUAUAUUUAGGGUGUUUUUUUCUGAAAUACUUUUCCUUCUGUUUUUUUUAUUUUGUUUAUACUUUCCUUUCUCUUUUUUUAAUUUUCUUUAGUUUUUUGUCUGCCUGUUUUAAGUUUUUCUUUUAGUUUUUUUAGUUAUUUUUGUAAUAUAUUAAGGGUGUUUUAUCAGAAAUACUUUUCCUUCUUUUUUUUAUUUUGUUUAUAAUAUCCUUUCUCCUUUUUUAGUUUACUUUAGAUUUUUCUGCCUGUUUUAAGUUUUUUAAAAGUUUUUUUUAGUUCUUUUUGUAAUAUAUUUAGGGUGUUUUUUCAGAAAUACUUUUCCUUCUGUUUUUUAAUUUUGUUUAUACUAUUUUUAGUUUUCUUUAGUUUUUUUCUGCCUGUUUAAAGUUUUUUUUUUGUUUUUUUUUAGUUUUUUUUUAUUUAUAAAUAUAUUUAGGGUGUUUUUUUCAGAUAUACUUUUCCUUCUGUUUUUUUAUUUUGUUUAUACCAUCCUUUCUAUUUUUUAGUUUUCUUUAGUUUUUUUCUGCCUGUUUUAAGUUUUGUUUUGUUUUUUUAGUUUUUUUUUGUUUUUUCUAUAUAUUUAGGGUGUUUUUUCUGAAAUACUUUUCCUUCUGUUUUUUUUUAUUUUGUUUACACUAUCCUUUCUCCUUUUUUAGUUUACUUUAGUUUUUUUCUGCCUGUUAAGUUUUUUUUUAGAUUUUUUUUAGUUUUUUAAAGUUUUUUUUAGAAAUACUAUUCUUUUUCUUCUUUUUUUAGUUUUCUUUAGUUUUUUUCUGCCUGUUUUAAGUUUUUUUUAGUUUUUUGUUAUUUAUAUAUAUUAAGGGUGUUCUUUUCUGAAAUACUUUUCCUUAUGUUUUUUAUUUUGUUUAUACUAUCCUUUCUCUUUUUUUAGUUUUCUUUAGUUUUUUUUCUGCCUGUUUUAAUUUUUUUUUGUUUUUUUUUUCUUUUUUUCUAUAUAUUUAGGGUGUUUUUUUCUGAUAUACUUUUCUUUCUGUUUUUUUUUAUUUUGUUUUAACUAUCCUUUCUCUUUUGUAGUUUUCUUCAUUUUUUUCUUCAUGUUUUAAUUUUUUUUUUUAGUUUUUUCUAUAUAUUUAGGGUGUUUUUUUCUGAAAUACUUUUCCUUCUGUUUUUUUAUUUUGUUUAUACUAUCCUUUCUCUUUUUUUAAUUUUCUUUAGUGUUUUGUCUGCCUGUUUUAAGUUUUUCUUUUAGUUUUUUAGUUCUUUUUGUAAUAUAUUAAGGGUGUUUUAUCAGAAAUACUUUUCCUUCUUUUUUUUUAUUUUGUUUAUAAUAUCCUUUCUCCUUUUUUUGUUUACUUUAGAUUUUUCUGCCUGUUUUAAGUUUUUUUUAAAGUUUUUUUUAGUUCUUUUUGUAAUAUAUUUAGGGUGUUUUUUCAGAAAUACUUUUCCUUCUGUUUUUUAAUUUUGUUUAUACUAUUUUUAGUUUUCUUUAGUUUUUUUCUGCCUGUUUAAAGUUUUUUUUUUAGUUUUUUUUUAGUUUUUUUUAUUUAUAAAUAUAUUUAGGGUGUGUUUUUCCGAUAUACUUUUCCUUCUGUUUUUUUAUUUUGUUUAUACCAUCCUUUCUAUUUUUUAGUUUUCUUUAGUUUUUUUCUGCCUGUUUUAAGUUUUGUUUUGUUUUUUUAGUUUUUUUUGUUUUUUCUAUAUAUUUAGGGUCUUUUUUUCUGAAAUACUUUUCCCUCUGUUUUUUUAUUUUGUUUAUACUAUCCUUUCUAUUUUUUAGUUUUCUUUAGUUUUUUUCUGCCUGUUUUAAGUUUUUUUUUUUUUUUUUUCUAUAUAUUUGGGGUAUUUUUUCUGAUAUACUUUUCUUUCUGUUUUUUCAAUUUUGUUUAUACUAUCCUUUCUCUUUUUUUAGUUUUCUCUAGUUUUUUUCUGCCUGUUUUAAGUUUUUUUAUUAGUUUUUUUUUAGUUUUUUUUAUUUAUAAAUAUAUUUAGGGUGUGUUUUUCAGAUAUACUUUUCCUUCUGUUUUUUUAUUUUGUUUAUACCAUCCUUUCAAUUUUUUAGUUUUCUUUAGUUUUUUUCUGCCUGUUUUAAGUUUUGUUUUGUUUUUUUAGUUUUUUUUGUUUUUUCUAUAUAUUUAGGGUGUUUUUUCUGAAAUACUUUUCCUUCUGUUUUUUUUAUUUUGUUUACACUAUCCUUUCUCCUUUUUUAGUUUACUUUAGUUUUUUUCUGCCUGUUAAGUUUUUUUUUAGAUUUUUUUUUAGUUUUUUAAAGUUUUUUUAGAAAUACUAUUCUUUUUCUUCUUUUUUUAGUUUUCUUUAGUUUUUGUCUGCCUGUUUUAAGUUUUUUUUAGUUUUUUGUUAUUUAUAUAUAUUAAGGGUGUUCUUUUCUGAAAUACUUUUCCUUCUGUUUUUUUUAUUUUGUUUAUACUAUCCUUUCUCUUUUUUAGUUUUCUUUAGUUUUUGUCUGCCUGUUCUAAGUUUUUUUUUCAGUUUUUUGAAGUUUUUUUGGAAAUACUAAUCUUCUUUUUAUUAGUUUUCUUUAGUUUUUUUCUGCCUGUUUUAAUUUUUCUAUUUUUUGUUUUCUUUAGUUUUUUUUUUCUUCAGUUUUUUUCCCUAUUUUUUUCCCUGGCACCUCUGUCUGGAUGAGCUACUCUUAGUCUGGUCCCUACCCCAGGACCUGCUGCCUUGGGUAACCUUUCAGAGGCAUAAAGCCCUGACAACAUAGCUCCUGGGAUCAUUGGGACACACAAACCCCUCCACCACGGUAAGGUGGUAGCUCAAGGAGGGGAAAAAACCCUCACAUGGGAGGGAAAAACCGCAAGGGUUUUUUUUUCUGUCCAAAACACCCGGUUUAGGGUGGGUUUUUGUUCCUUUUUUUCAGAAAUACUUUUCUUUUCUUUAGUUUCCUAUAGUUCUUUUUUAUUUUUCUGCCUGUUUUAAGUUUUUUUUUUCAGAAAUACUGUGAUUUUACUUUUUUUUUUUUUUUUUACAAAUACUAUUCUUUUUCUUUGUUUUCUUUAGUUUUUUUCUGCAUGUUUAAAGUUUUUUUUUAGUUUUUUUGUUAUUUAUAAAUAUAAAGGGUUUCCCUUUCUAAAAUACUUUUCCUUCUGUUUUUUUUAUUUUGUUUAUACUAUCCUUUCUCUUUUUUAGUUUUCUUUAGUUUUUUUCUACCUGUUUUAAUUUUUUUUUGUUUUUGUUUUUUCUAUAUAUUUAGGGUCUUUUUUUCUGAAAUACUUUUCCCUCUGUUUUUUUAUUUUGUUUAUACUAUCCUUUCUCUUUUUUAGUUUUCUUUAGUUUUUUUCUGCCUGUUUUAAGUUUUUUUGUUGUUUUUUUUUGUUUUUUCUAUAUAUUUGGGGUGUUUUUUCUGAUAUACUUUUCUUUCUGUUUUUUCAAUUUUGUUUAUACUAUCCUUUCUCUUUUUUUAGUUUUCUCUAGUUUUUUUUCUGCCUGUUUUAAGUUUUUUUAUUAGUUUUUUUAGUUUUUUUCUGUUAUAUAUAAUUAGGGUGUUUUUUUUCAGAAAUUCUUUUCCUUCUGUUUUUUUAUUUUGUUUACACUAUCCUUUCUCCUCUUUUUAGUUUUCUUUAGUUUUAUUCUGCCUGUUUGUAAGUGUUUUUUUAAGUUUUUUUUUGUUUUUUUGUUAUUUAUAUAUAUAUA